CCUACGGGUGGCAGCAGUAGGGAAUCUUUCACAAUGGGCGAAAGCCUGAUGGAGCAACGCCGCGUGCAGGAUGAAGGCCUUCGGGUUGUAAACUGCUUUUAUAAGCGAGAAAUAUGAUGGUAACUUAUGAAUAAGGAUCGGCUAACUACGUGCCAGCAGCCGCGGUCAUACGUAGGAUCCGAGCAUUAUCCGGAGUGACUGGGUGUAAAGAGUUGCGUAGGUGGCAUAAUAAGUAGCUAGUGAAAUCUGGUGGCUCAACCAUUCAGACUAUUAGCUAAACUGGUAAGCUCGAGACCGUUAGGGGUAACUGGAAUUCCUAGUGUAGGAGUGAAAUGCGUAGAUAUUAGAAGGAACACCAAUAGCGUAGGCAGGUUACUGGGACGGUUCUGACACUAAGGCACGAAAGCGUAGGGAGCAAACGGGAUUAGAUACCCUGGUAGUC
rnacentral:rRNA from 1 species